GACAGAGGGUGCAAACGUUGUUCGGAAUUACUGGGCGUAAAGCGCGUGUAGGCGGCCCGGAAAGUCGGAUGUGAAAGCCCUGGGCUUAACCUAGGAAGUGCAUUCGAAACUGCUGGGCUUGAGUUCUGGAGAGGAAGGCGGAAUUCUCGGUGUAGAGGUGAAAUUCGUAGAUAUCGAGAGGAACACCGGUGGCGAAGGCGGCCUCUGGACAGUGACUGA
rnacentral:rRNA from 1 species